rnacentral:rRNA from 1 species
UACAGAGGGUGCAAGCGUUAAUCGGAUUUACUGGGCGUAAAGGGCGCGUAGGUGGUAAAGCAAGUAAGAUGUGAAAGCCCUGGGCUUAACCUGGGAAGUGCAUCUUAAACUGCUUAACUAGAGUAUGGUAGAGGGUAGUGGAAUUUCCGGUGUAGCGGUGAAAUGCGUAGAGAUCGGAAGGAACGCCAGUGGUGGAAGACGACUACCUGGACCAAUACUGACACUGAGGCGCGAAAGCGUGGGGAGUCAAACAGG